AUUGAACGCUGGCGGCAGGCCUAACACAUGCAAGUCGAACGAGUGGCGGACGGGUGAGUAAUGCCUGGGAAUCUGCCUGAUGGAGGGGGAUAACUACGGGACACGGUAGCUAAUACCGCGUACCAUAGGAUGUGCCCAUAUGGGAUUAGGUAGUAGGUGAGGUAAAGGCUCACCUAGGCGACGAUCCCUAGCUGGUCUGAGAGGAUGACCCGCCACGUUGGAGCUGAGACACGGCCCCGACCCCUACGGGAGGCAGCAGUGGGGAAUAUUGGCCAAUGGGGGCAACCCUGAGGCAGCCAUGCCGCGUGUAUGAAGAAGGCCUGCGGGUUGUAAAGUACUUUCCGCCGUGAGGCGUUACCCGCAGAAGAAGCACCGGCUAACUCCGUGCCAGCCGCCGCGGUAAUAC
rnacentral:rRNA from 1 species